GCAAGCUGAGGGAGGAGAAGAGCGGUGGUGGGCGGAGUCCUGCCACCUGCUCUCGCCACCCUUAAAUUCUCCGGGUCUCGAGCUGCGCUGAAAACAGGAAAACGUGACGGCGUGUUUUGCUCGGGAAAGUUCUGAGCCUUCGGUUUUACGUCCCGCCUCCGGCCCAGGGCUAACUUUCUCCACCUGUCCGGGAGGUCAAGGUGACUACCAGUCUUACAAGUGGAGACUCACAAACUUCCAGGGCUGGCGGGUUGCUGAGGUGCCGCACUUGCCUCACGAGCGCAGGACCCGCUCUGUGUCAAGUCCCUAGCUGAUCAGUUGCUGGAGUCGCCCUCCUGCAGCUCCAAUAAUGAAUUGAGGCUCUUCUGUUUAAUGUGAGGCGGAAUACGCUUCCUCUCGCGGGAACUGAACUCGAGCAGCAGAAUCAACCCAAAAGACAAGUUGAACUAUCGUAUGUGCUAUGAAUAACCUUAAUGUCGACAACAACUUGUUAGUCACAAAGCACAGAGCCUCCGUGCACCAGUUGAAGAGAUACUCUGCAGAGAGGCCACCUAGCUUCUCCCCAGGCCCUGCCUAGCCAAAAAGGACCUGUGAUACCUGUGAACAGAAGCAGAAAGGCUGUUGGUCAGGAGUGCAGGGGAAAGGCGUGCUGGACCAAGUUGGAGGCUGGAAAAAAAUGCCAGCAGCGUAAGCUUGCCAUGCCCACAGUCGUGGGAGAAGAGUCCGGAAAGGACUGAGGGAUGCAGAGGCAGACGGCAGCAGCAGAGGCUGAGAGCAGCGCCGAGCCCCAGUCACAGGUCACAGAACGUGCUUUCCAGGUGUGUACCAUGGUGAAGAUACCAUACAGCCUCUGAAACACACACGCCCGACCGAUCACCCCAACAACCAGAUAGCAGGUGUUCGCCAUUGAGUCUUCUUCGCCUUCUCUUAUUCUAGGUCUUGGAAGAUAGUAAAGAUGUCCUUUGUUGAUUUUAACCUGAGACAGCUCUUCUAUAGUUUGUCAUAUAUCAUGAGAACUCAGUAAAUCAUCACUAAGCAUAAGGAUUCCGCUUUUCCUUUAUCAUUUUACCUAUUCAUCAAGGUCCCUUGAGGCUCACCUUCUCCAGGAAACCUCUGUGAUUCCAUCCAACCCCCAGGGAUGCUCCCUUAUGAGGACUUAUAGUACUUAUUCAAUAGAUAAUUAUAUUCUCUUGCAGCACCUUUUUUUUUAAUCUUAAAUUUAUAUGCAUCUAGCUAUCUUAAGGGCAUGCACUAGGUGUUAUACUUCUUUGUAUCUCUCAUAGCAUCUAGUACCAGGCAGGCACUUGGCUGGUGUUCAGGAAAAAAUAUGUAAAAUAGGUCAGUGAAAGAACAAAAGAGCAAAGCCAGGUAUCCUCACUUUGUUGAUCAUGGAGUGGUACAGUAAUUACCUUAAAUAGUGUAAGCCGGUUGUGAAUUGAUGGUCUAGAUGGUUAUUAUUACAUUUUACACAGAUCUGAUUCUUAUACAGAUUCUUACAUUUAACUCAGAUAUUUGACUUAAUAUUUAUCCCUAUUUCUUAAGGCCUUUGCCAAUUUUGUAUUCAUGAUAUUCUUAACUUUUGACU